UACGUAGGGAGCAAGCGUUGUUCGGAUUUAUUGGGCGUAAAGAGCGUGUAGGCGGCCAGACAGGUCCGUUGUGAAAACUCGAGGCUCAACCUCGAGAUGUCGAUGGAAACCGUCUGGCUAGAGUCCGGAAGAGGAGUGUGGAAUUCCUGGUGUAGCGGUGAAAUGCGCAGAUAUCAGGAAGAACACCUAUGGCGAAGGCAGCACUCUGGGACGGUACUGACGCUGAGACGCGAAAGCGUGGGGAGCGAACAGG
rnacentral:rRNA from 1 species